GACGAGCGCUGGCGGCGCGCCUAACACAUGCAAGUCGAACGGAGCGUACCGAGUGGAGACUUCGGUCAAAGCAAAGUAUUGCUUAGUGGCGAACGGGUGAGUAACACGUGAGCAACCUACCUUCCAGUGGGGGACAACAUUUGGAAACAGAUGCUAAUACCGCAUAAGACCACGGAUCCGCAUGGAUUUGCGGCCAAAGGAGCAAUUCGCUGGAAGAUGGGCUCGCGUCCGAUUAGGUAGUUGGUGAGGUAACGGCCCACCAAGCCAUCGAUCGGUAGCCGGACUGAGAGGUUGAACGGCCACAUUGGGACUGAGACACGGCCCAGACUCCUACGGGAGGCAGCAGUGGGGAAUAUUGCACAAGGGGCGAAAGCCUGAUGCAGCGACGCCGCGUGGAGGAAGAAGGUUUUCGGAUUGUAAACUCCUGUCUUCGGGGACGAUAAUGACGGUACCCGAGGAGGAAGCCACGGCUAACUACGUGCCAGCAGCCGCCGUAAAAC
rnacentral:rRNA from 1 species